UGGCGAUUGAUUAGUGUCUCAAGAUAAGAAAAACAGACAAUAAAGAUAAAAAAAUAUCUGGUUAAAAAUAAAUAGAUAUAAACAUGAAAUAAAUGUGCUAUUAAAAUGGUCUUGGAAUGAGUUUUUGUAUAUUUGAAUAUAUUAUCUUUGUUUUUAUUGUUUUUAUUUUUUAUUUGUUUCGACACCGAACAUUCCCAUAGAUAUAUUUAAAAAAUCAGAGACAAAAAUCACCGUUUAAGAUUCUGGUUACAGAGAAAACUAAGAAUUUAUGCUAUAUACUCCCUGCCUACUUCAGGUGUAAAGUUACGAUCAGCAACAAAUAAGAGAGAUCAGAUUAAGAGAACAAUGAAAUUAAAUUAAAUUAAAUAAAACUUUAUAUUUAUUCAUUGAUACCAAGAAGCGGGUCCAAUGUUCCAGGGGACAUGGCAUCAAAAUAGAACAGAUUCGAUGUGCUGUGUACAUGUGUUUAGCGUCGUGGUGGCUGAUCGGCCACUGUCAGAUUCUGGGUAAAUGGUCCUCAUCUCUUCCCAUUGGGAAUUGAGACGGGCCAAUUUAAGCACACAUGGUUAGUUGAAUUAUUGUUAGUUUUCUACUCUCUUUUUUUUUUUUUAAUGCAUG
rnacentral:lncRNA from 1 species